GCUCCCCUGCUCCGGCUUAAAGCCCGGGGGAGGGCUCGGGGAGGGGACUGCGCUCAGGGGCCCGCCUUCUCCUGCCCCUGCAGGGUGGUGCCUGCGCCCCUGGGCCUGGGGGCGAGAGGCCCGGCAAAGUUAAGGGAAGUCAGGCCCAGGAACUGGGAACCAGACUCCGGCCCUCCGGGCAGCGUGGCCUCGGGUCUAACCCGCGGCCGCGGCCACACCUUUUCCACGCUUUUUACCGCCCCCGUUAAACGGUUGGUAAUGACCAGGUGAGGAUGAAAGCACUUGUCAGCGUCCCCCUGGGUUUGAAUCCGGGCCCUGCACAGUCCAGCCGCGUGGCCAUGAGCAACGGCCUUGGAGCCUCGGUUUACUCGUCCAGAAAGUGGGGGCGAUGAUGAUCGCGGCCUCUACCAGACAAGAGGUCUGUUGGGAAGGUUGAGGGAGAUGGCCCGCUGACGCCUAGCACGACGCCUGGCACAGAGCAAGCGCUGAGCGGGGGUCACCGCUGUUGAUUUAGUUUCUACUUGUUCCCAAGGUGGGUGAGCCGUCUGGAGAUCGGAGCCUGGAGGAAGGAAUCGUUUUCUUCCUCCUCGAUAAAUGCAGGGGCGCACAACUGCUGAAUCAGGCACCUGACCUUGAGCAGCUCCAUAACCGGCUUCAUCAAAGGUUCCAACCAGGAUAAUCUGUACGCAUUCCCUGCGUCUGUCGCCCCGCAUUACACAAAGCGACGUUCAAAUUCCAGCCGUACCGCUUGGCUUCUUAUGCAACCCUAGACAAGAGCUUUAACUCCUGGGGGCCUGUGUCCUUGUCUGGAAUGGAAACACGAAGGGGGCGUAGCUCACAAGGAUGUGGGAAGAAUUAAUAAGCAAGGCCGUGGUGCAGAGUGCCUGCACAUACGUGAACAAGUAGGGGCAGAGCAGCAGAAGAAGCGGUCAAACUCACAAGAGGAAGCAGGUGGCAGAGAUCGGCCAGGACUUGCAUAGGCCGAGUCCUCAAAGAAGAGCCUCUAACGGGAAGGCUUGUCUGUUAGACGGAUGAGGAAACUGAGGCUCCGAGAGAUUAAGACAUUUGCCCGAGGUCACACAGCUAGUGCACGACAGGGCUGAAAUUCCAAUGAUCCGCACCGCCACUGCCCCUCCCCAUUUCUAAGAGGAAAAUAACCAUCGAUGUGAUCGACUGAUUACAGUCACCAGCCCAGCUAUUAAGGGCUUGCUAUGUGCCAAGCACUGUGCUGGGCGCGGACAUGAAUGAUCGAGCCAUGCCUAGCUCUUUGGCCUGACGUCCUACCCGCUUUCCCCUCAAUCACUGCUUGCCACCCUCUUCACGACCUCCUUUCUGCUCCUUGAACAUUCCAGGUUCUUCGCACGGACUGCUCCCUCUGCCUGGAUGUCCCCCCCCACAUCCCCCCACCAUCCCACCUCACUGGCUGCUUCCUUCUCACGUGGGUCUUUGCUCCAACGUCACCUCCUCCGAGGCGCCCCCCCCCAACCCCCAAUCUACUGAAACGUAACCUUCCUCCACUCUGCGUCACACACUCUAUGUCGAGUCUGCCCCGAGUUCUUUCCUUCACAGCACGAGUCAUCGUUUCAAACCAUUCCCUACUAGAUUAAACUCCAUGAGAACCGGGAGUCCUCAUUAAUCCUCACCGUAUCCCCGGUGCCCGGAACAGCACCUGGAACAUAGCGGAGGUUCCGCCGGGGCCACACUGUGCUUUGCCUCCAGCAGGGAAGACUGUGGGCACCACUGUAGAAACCGCGGCCGGAGCCGGGCACAAACAUGGCCCCCUGCCCACGGAGCAAGCAGGAUGCAAACGAGCAGGUGAAUCUGAAGGAUAGCAGCCAGGGCCUGAGUACAUAGAUGGACAGUUCUCCUGGGGACAUGUGUGGCUGCUGCAGGACCCCCCUCGCCCUCGAUGCCUGCAAACGUCAUUGUAGCCUCCCUAACGCUGCCGCCUCCGCCGUGCUGGCCACCGUGUCACACGCACCAACGGGCCCGAGCGGAUCGCUGCACGCUCGCCAAGGCCUCUCUCUGCCCCAGGCUGCCACUGUCGCAGACCCGGCCAGUUGCAAAGGCUUUUCCCUUCCCCUCCAGCCCCCCUUUACCGCCUUUUCUCCCGAUGUGAUCCCUUGAAAACGUAAAAUGCGUUCCUGUUUAAAACUGCAGUCGAGUUGAGAACAAUACCCGGGCUCGUGACAAGGCCCCGAGCUGGUCCUCACCCACCUCUCUGAUCUCACUUCCCGCUCUUCCUCUGCUCUGCUCACUGAGAACUGGCCACCCUGGCCUUGCUGCCCAGGGAUGCCCCUCCUUUACCAACUUUGUCCCUCAUGGGUCUCUGCCUGGGACACGCUCCCCCACCUCCCGGUUCUUUUUUGGUUUAAUUAAGAAAAAAAUAAGUUGAGACAGAACGCGAGCAGGGGAGGGGCAGAGAGGGAGGGAGGCACAGAAUCCGAGGGAGGCUCCAGGCUCUGAGCUGUCAGCACAGAGCCCGACGUGGGGCUCAAACUCGUGAACCACCAGAUCAUGACCUGAGCCGAAGUCGGACGCUCAACCGACUGAGCCACCCGGGUGCCGCCAGCUCUCCUUCACACACCAGUUCUAAUGUCACUGUUUCCUCGUUGAGUAAGGGCAGCCUUAGGUCCCCCUCUAUCUCCAGGGCCCCGCACGCGGCGAGCUCUAGCUGUUUCCUGACUUACUACCUGUACGUGUGUGCCCACCAGUCAUUCUCACCCCGAGGCAGACAGCUCUCAGUCACGUUGACAGUAUUCCUUGAAAACAUCAUUGCCCCUGGGGCCCUUGAAGUUCUUGGAAAAUAACGUUAUAGAAGGUCAAGAUAUAUCAAAAGUGUAUCCCUUCCAGCAUCUCGUUUCCUAAAGCAUCAGUGGAGGCCACACGGGCUUGGGAGCCAGGAAAAAGUCUCCCUUGCACCUGUGACAUCUUGGACAAGUUCUCCAUCGAUACACUGGGGAUGCUACCUUAGAGUUGUCUCAAUUCCAAUAUGAACACUCCUGGGACGGUAUCUUGACAAGUGAUAACCAGGCAACGAUAUUCACUCUCCUGUCUACUGGUCACCAGUACCCAGGAAGGGAAGUUUUCAUUCAUUCCUGGGCAUCUGCCACAGGCACAGGGCUGACUAUGGUGAAGGAAACCCACAGUCCUGGACCCACGGAAAUGCUCACUGCCCACGUACCCAGUAGCCAAUGAUACUGGGCACAGAGAAGGCACUCAAAGUACUUAUUUGCUGGCUGGUGCAGACAAGGAGGAGAGGUACUUUAUUAUACCUCCCUCCCCACAGACACACAUCUCUGGGGAAGAGACUGAGGCUGGGAGGGGUUUUAAGUGCAAGCUAAUUGGCGGCAUUUUGCAUCUUUGCUGUUUUCCUGCCCCUUCCCUUAAACCAGGCUUUAUCAAACUAGUCAUUUCUAGGUAGUUUCACCUCUUUUGUUCUACGUGCUUACUAUCUGUGAUAUAAAUCAACUCACUUUCUUUUACUAAAGGAACUUAAACUAAAAGGAACUUUAGAUCAAUCCCUUGUCUUAGUUAGAAGGUAAUCAUAGAAAUACGGAGCAACAAAGAUAAAAACAAUGCUGCAUAAAAUCACAUAAAUUCCAGUUGCCUGAAAGCUAUGAGCCUGCUUUUUUAAAAUGAGACUAAUUGGAGGUCAGCAGUAUUUUUCAUCUUUUUUUUGCUAAGACUCUCAAAAAGAAAUGUGUCUUACAUCAAAACCCAGUAGAUACCCUGGGUAUCUGUAUGUCUAUACAUACACUUGAAACAAGUUUUAUUAAACAAUACACGUAAGGCGCUCUGAUAUUUUCUAUUCUAUGAUUCUACUUCAUUUUUAUUUUUUACAUUGAUUUAUUUUUGAGAGAGACAGUGCACGCAGACAAGGCGCAGAGAGAGAGGGAGACACAGAAUUGGAAGCAGGCUCCAGGCUGAGCUGUCAGCACAGAGCCCGACGCGGGGCUCGAACUCACGAGCUGUGAGAUCAUGACCUGAGCUGAAGUUGGACGCUCAACCAACUGAGCCACCCAGGCGCCCCUCUAGUUCAUUUUUAAAAUGCUGGCUGUAUCCCAUUGCAUUGGUUUCAGGGGGAAUAUGUCAUGUACACGACAAAAAAACUGCUGGGUUAGCGGGUUGAUAAAGGUAUCUGUCACCAACUGAGACUCUGUCCCCACAUCACCCAAAAGACUGAAGAGUAAUGUUCUCAUCACGUGGUUCAACGUUCUGCAAUGCCAUUGCCCAGGUACCUGACAUAUACGCGGCCUGGCCAAAGAGGAAGCCCGUUCUAGAUUUCUUUUAAAUACCCAAUUCUGCCUAGAACUUGUCUUCUGUCCACAGUAAGCUGUUGAGAACAGUCGACCGCAGAUGAUAAUGACACUGAACAAGCAUGAUCACAGACAGCACUUAAAAGGAUCUCAAUGCC